UUCCUUUACAUGCACGUCAAGAGGGGAUAUUUCCAAUGACAAGGAGGGCAUGCAUGUCUUAGAAAGAAGGCUCCAGGAAAAAGAAUUUAAGGAUCAGGUGGUGAGAUAUAUAAGCAUGUACAUGGCCGAUGACAUGAAAAUUGAGACCCGACGGAUUUUGGUGGAGACGGUGGGUCAUAAAGCAGCAGUUUGCUUCAAUUUGAGUGGGGUGGGGAACCAAGGAAAGGGUUCCUUCCGUGAUUUAGCACUGUACAAAGUGAUAUUUGGUGUGAUUAAACUCCACCACAAAGAUGUUCGGGAGAACAAUUUUAAAGAUGUUGUCAAAAAUUGGUUAAAUGGGGUUGG